rnacentral:lncRNA from 1 species
AAUGAUUCUCCUGCCCCAGCCUCCUGAGUAGCUGGGAUUACAGGCAUGUGCCACCACGCCCAGCUAAUUUUGUAUUUUUAGUGGAGAUGGGGUUUCUCCAUGUUGGUCAGGCUGGUCUCAAACUCCCUACCUCAGGUAAUCCGCCUGCCUCGGCCUCCCAAAGUGCUAGGAUUACAGGCGUGAGACACCACGCCCAGCCCUCUCUUACUUUUAAUGUCCCCAUUAUUGUGGCUGAAGGGCUCAGAAGCCCUCUGCCUCUGAGUAGGACACCCUCCUCUCCUUCCCUCCCCUGCAGCUGGGUCUGGGCUGUCCUGUUCUGGCGUGAGUGGUUUCUUCUGGCCCUGCCUCUUUAUCUAGUAGAGUUCUGCCACUGAGUUUUCCCUGGGACAGCCACAUGGGCACAGCUGUCUCCCAGGCAGCACUAGGGGAGGAGAUCAGGCUCCCAGCUCCCCCAGCAUGACACAGAGCUGGUGGGAAUUUCAACAGGACUUUCUGAACGGUGAGGGACAACAGGGGCCCCAUGUCACUGUGGAGGCUGGCACUCUUAUAUAUUCAUGGGUCAAACCCACUGUAGUCUCUGAAGUCUGGCACAUGCUGUUGUACCUGAGUGUCACAGUCACAGGCUAAAUAAGCCCUUUUCUUUUACAACCUUCCCUUCAGUGAGGGCUGAGGGAAAUUCACAUCUUCUUGCUUUCCCCUCCUUCCCUUGAUUUCCCCAGGACAGCCAGCUCUUCUUGGCUUUUACUGCCCCGGAGAAGAUGCUUAGACAUACAGGCCUGCAUGUGUGCACCGCCCCCCACACAGUCACACAUUCACACACGCAUGCAUGUGCUCACACGCUCAUGCUCAUUAGCGCACACAUGCACACUCACAUUCACACAUGCACCUCCCACACAUU